rnacentral:ncRNA from 2 species
AGCGUCACGAUUCGAGUCGGCCGCGGGAAUCCGGUGGGAAUCCGGGACUGGCGCGCAACGGUGUGAGGCGGUGAACGAACCGCCUCGAGUCCGAUACCGCCCGGCUCGUGAUGUCCAUC